ensembl:lncRNA
CUUUGACAUAAGGAUAAUUCUGAGCUGGAAGAGAAUAAGAAGAAGCAGAUAGAGUGGACCUCCCUUAAGGACCCUGAGGACACCGAGACCGAGGCUAGCUCCAAGCCCCAUGCGGAGCAAACUACAUGACACUGCAUAAGCGACUAGCAGGCAGCGCACAGGUGACCACAGGUAGCUGGAGCUGCAGAGAGCACAGCUGAGACGAUGAGGGGCAGGUGGAGCUGGCUUGGUCCUCCCGCUUCCCAGGAGCCCACCAGAGAGGUCCCUCACAGGAACAAUGGAUACUCUCACCUCCCAGGAAAUUCCAGAGGACGAGGACCUGUGUGCUGGACCCUCCUAUCACUCAGGAAAUGACAGACAUCCUAGGAGCUCUGGAACUGGGGUCAAAGACCCGAUACUAGAACAAACAACCUCCCAGUGCCCCUGUCUGCAAGGGCUUCAGCAGCUGUAGGCCAGGGACCAGGGCAGAGAUCAAUGUGUCUAUUUCUCAUGAUUUCACAAACCACACACAAGGCAGCAGGGGACAUGUCAGGAAACACUGCAGUCAUCGGAGCUGGACCCGCUGACCAGAGUGACCAGGCUGCAGGAACCCAGAGACCUCACCAUCAGACAGGGAUGCAAGGGCAGAGUUGAGGACAAUUUCAAGCUCUGGGACUCAAUCCGUCACUGCAGCGACCCUGGAACUGGGAUGUGUGCCAUGGGUGUGAGGACCCAGCAUGCAGCGGGGUGAGUUUGACAGGCAACCGGGUGCCAGCAGCAAGUGUGGGUGGAUGAGUGCUGCUCUGCAGGGAUCGAACUGGAGCCGGCAGCGUGGGACGCAGCUCAAGCUGAAGAAUGAUUCAAGCCUGGGCAGGAGGAGCAACAGCAGCAAACUAGUGCAGGGCCUGAGCAGGGCUCCCAGGGUCAGAGCUCAGCAGGAGGAGGAAGCAGCACUGACUGGAUGAGGGGUGAGGCCCAGGGACCAAGGGGAACACUCCUGAGAAUCCCAAGAAGCUGAAAUAUGAACAGCAGAUCUUGAGUCUCCGGAGUUCUAUUUUUUGGAUGAAACCCAGGGCCUUGCACUAAGCAUUUGAGGUGCCCACGAGCCCACACCUCCUGUUUUCCAGCUUCCGGGACAUUUUGCUCCACAUCUUUCUCCCGAAGAGACCUUGCUGUGUUCUGAGUUACCUGGCCGGGUGCUGGCUGCACGGGAGGCAGGCAGAACUUGGCAGUCUGGAGAUGUCUGUGCAGCCACAGCAUCCAGGAGACCUCUGCUCCUCCCCACAUCCACACUGGCCAGGCAACCUGGCCGCUGGGAAGGGGGACUGGGUGACCUUCGGUGGGGGACAGACCUGCCUGUUAGCACAGCACAGCAGGGAACCCCGCUUUACCAAGUCCCAGCUCUGCAAUACCAAGAUAUUCAACCCACCACUAACGUCUCCCUUUCUUUGUCUGUGAAAUACCCCAGCAAAAUGUCUAACUCAGUCGCUGUUACAGUUUACGUAACUAUUAACAAGAUUUUAAAAUGCUCUAGUUGGGGGGAGGGUCUCUAACUGGACCCUAAAGCAAACCCCACCCACAUCCUUCCUGCCAGAUGAGCCUGCGCCCCUCCCCAAGCUCAAAGAGUGGAGCUGUCUAGGGCUGGAACCCGCUUUCCUGACCACAGCCCCCUUCCUGAGCCAGGCUUCUGGAGCCAGCCCUGGACACUGCGUCCCUCCAGGCCCUGCACCCCCCUCGCCUGCAUGUCUCUCUGCACUCUCCUGUGCCUCUGUCCUCACCUCUCUGAGGGCCGGGGCCCUGCAGGGAUCUCUGACCAGCUGGGCUGCCUGGACAGAGCAGGAGCAGCCAGGCAGUCAGGCCGCUGCCCGAGGAGAGCAAGCACUGCAGUGCGGACAGCGGGGCUGGGAGAUUGAGUGCAGGCCCAGCCAGACUUCC